rnacentral:misc_RNA from 1 species
UUUCCGUAGGUGAACCUGCGGAAGGAUCAUUAUCAAAACAGCGGACUUCGGUCCUUGCUGCACCCUUGUCUUUUGCGUACCGUAUGUUUCCUCGGCGGGCUUGCCUGCCAACGGGGACCCACCACAAACCCAUUGUAGUACAAGAAGUACACGUCUGAACAAAACAAAACAAACUAUUUACAACUUUCAACAACGGAUCUCUUGGUUCUGGCAUCGAUGAAGAACGCAGC